rnacentral:rRNA from 1 species
UACGUAGGUGGCAAGCGUUGUCCGGAUUUACUGGGCGUAAAGAGCGCGCAGGCGGUCGUUCAAGUCGCGUGUGAAAGCCCCCGGCUCAACUGGGGAGGGUCACGCGAUACUGCUCGACUCGAAGGCAGGAGAGGGAAGUGGAAUUCCCGGUGUAGUGGUGAAAUGCGUAGAUAUCGGGAGGAACACCAGUGGCGAAGGCGACUUCCUGGCCUGUUCUUGACGCUGAGACGCGAAAGCGUGGGGAGCAAACAGG